rnacentral:rRNA from 1 species
AGCUCCAAUAGCGUAUAUUUAAGUUGUUGCAGUUAAAAAGCUCGUAGUUGGAUUUCGGGGUGGGUGCUUGCGGUCGGCCUUUGGUCAGCACUGCUCGCGCCUACCUUUCUGCCGGGGACGAGCUCCUGGGCUUAACUGUCCGGGACUCGGAAUCGGCGAGGUUACUUUGAGUAAAUUAGAGUGUUCAAGCAAGCCUACGC